rnacentral:lncRNA from 1 species
AGGGGGAAAAGCAAUUAACUGGAAGCUGGUCUUUCUCAUUGCCAGCCCAAGGACUUGGAUUCCCAGCAAAAGGCGCAGGGUACAGCCCCAGUCGGAAACUCCCGACCUCAAAGAGGGGUAAACGGGGUUUUCCAGGGACCUGUCCCUGUGGGGCUUUAAAGAGCCUCCCGUGGGAGCUUUGCUUUCACUUCUCUGGGGAGUUCGGAGCUGCAAAGAGCCCAGCUACUCGCCGAUCCCCGGGCGCCCCUUUUUUGAUGACUGUUUCAAUCACAUUUUCCCAAAAGGCAGCACUGAAGAAAACCAUGUUCUUAUUCAAGAUACGAAUACCAGGUUUCUAGUCCUAAUAUUUUAUUCUUUUAAAUUAUUAAAAAAAAUAUUUUGAUAUCAGAUAUUAUUUCCAUUUGGUCAUUAAUGCCUUUGAAUUUCUUUAAUCCUGCAAG